GACGAACGCUGGCGGCGUGCUUAACACAUGCAAGUCGAACGAAGUGGCGAAAGGGUGAGUAAUACGUGGGUAACCUGCCCUCAUUUUUGGGAUAAGCCUUGGAAACGGGGUCUAAUACCGAAUAAAGGGGGAUGGGGUCGCGGCCUGUCAGCUUGGUGGUGGGGUGAUGGCCUACCAAGGCAGGGACGGGUAGCCGGCCUGAUAGGGUGAACGGUCACAUUGGGACUGAGAUACGUCCCAGGCGCCGACGGGGGGGAGCAGUGGUGGAUAUUGAACAAAGUGCGAAAGCGUGAUGCAGCGACACUGAUUGUGGGUUGAAGGCUUUAGAGUUGUUAUCCUCUUUCGCUAUCGAACGGGUAGGUGGAGAAGAAGCGCCGGCUAACUACGUACCAGCAGCCGCGGUAAUUC
rnacentral:rRNA from 1 species